rnacentral:tRNA from 1 species
AUAGAGUCUGGGAAACUUUCAUUCCCUCUUAAA